AGCGAACGCUGGCGGCAGGCCUAACACAUGCAAGUCGAACGAACCUUUCGGGGUUAGUGGCGGACGGGUGAGUAACACGUGGGAACGUGCCUUUAGGUUCGGAAUACCUCAGGGAAACUUGUGCUAAUACCGAAUGUGCCCUUCGGGGGAAAGAUUUAUCGCCUUUAGAGCGGCCCGCGUCUGAUUAGCUAGUUGGUUGAGGUAAUGGCUCAUCAAGGCGACGAUCAGUAGCUGGUCUGAGAGGAGGAUCAGCCACGUUGGGACUGAGACACGGCCCAAACUCGUACGGGAGGCAGCAGUGGGGAAUCUUGCGCAAUGGGCGAAAGCCUGACGCAGCCAUGCCGCGGGAAUGAGGAAGGUCUUAGGAUUGUAAAAUUCUUUCACCGGGGACGAGAAUGACGGUACCCGGAGAAGAAGCCCCGGCUAACUUCGUG
rnacentral:rRNA from 1 species